rnacentral:misc_RNA from 1 species
GAAAUGCGAUAAGUAGUGUGAAUUGCAGAAUUCAGUGAAUCAUCGAAUCUUUGAACGCACAUUGCGCCCCUCGGCAUUCCGUGGGGCAUGCCUGUUCGAGCGUCAUCUACACCCUCAAGCUCUGCUUGGUGUUGGGCGUCUGUCCCGCCUCCGCGCGCGGACUCGCCCCAAAUGCAUUGGCAGCGGUUCCUUGCCCCCCUCUUUGCGCAGCACAUUGCCAUUCGAGGCGGCGGCGGCCCGCGUCCAACAAGCUCAACCCCCCCGUCUUUGACCUCGGAUCAGGUAGGGAUACCCGCUGAACUUAA